ACAGCAGUGCCCUGACCGAGCUGAUCCGGUCGUGGUGUGACAGUGACCGAGAGAACCCGGGAAAGGGUCGUGCUCCCAAAGCAGCUCUCCCUCAGGAGCAGCUCGCAGCGCCUCACGUUUUUAUUACUUUCUAUUAUUGACACUUUAAAUAAGCGCCCAUUCUUCUGGCUACGAAACUGCUAUGGCAGCAGAAGCGGGCUGGAAAUGCUUUUGUGUAAAAAUGUGCAUGGUCUGAAAGGAAAGCCAAUUUUCUGGCGUUUCAAGGAAUGCUAUAGUCAGUUGUACUUGAGGAAAACUGCAGAUGUAUUCCUGAUUUUAUAGAAGAGGUUAUAAUUGUAAGAGUGAAGUGGCAUGAGGACAAGGAGGCAUAUGUGAAGCCAAGCUGAAUGGAUCAGGCAAUUGCAGUAUUAGAGGUCGUGUAGAAAAUGAGAGCUGCUGUUGUAGGGGCUUGUUCCUGUCACAUUUAAUGUUGGUUGAGCAGCUGUCCCGUUCUCAUGUUAACCUGCCUUUCAUCAAGCGCAGGAACAGUUGUGCGUGGAUCUGUUACCUCAGAGAGUCUGCCCUUACACCAGGCUGUCACUUUGUCCUCAGCAGUUGCCAGGCUUUGCAGUUCUGCUUCUUUCCUGUGAGCUAAUUCCAUGGUCUAAAAUACCCUGUUUUUCAGAAAACUUUCAUAAACAAUCUCUUUCCUAAUCAGCACUUCACUCAUCUUUGAAUUCAGCAUCAUGUAUUUGGUGAUUCUCUGAGUGCAUGUACACUUCAGGGGCUUUGAGACUUCAUAAAUUCAAAUUCAUAAUUUAAGCCACCAACCAAAUUUAUCUCUCUUCAUCUGUGCAACUUCCAGUUUAUUAGCAUUGUUAUGGUAAUGGGAGCUCCAAAAUGAAUUUCCGAAGGAGUUACAGCAGACCUGAGUUAUGAUUUUCACUUCCCAGCUCAGUGAAAUAUUUCUGCAUAUGGAUCAAACCACACCUUUUGCAAAAACAUAGUUGAUUGAAUCAAACUACCCAGAUAGUUCAAGAAAUGCCUAUGUUGUUUUGGUGGCAUAACGUCUUAAAGCUUCAUCUUCAGAUUUUUUGUUUUUUGGUUUUGUUUUUCAGUCCUGUAUAUUUUUUACUUUUUUUUUUUUUUUUUCCAGAUUUUACUGCUCAUUUACAGUGUAUAAUUUCAUACAGUGAUACAAAGGCAAUUGUUCCACUACUUUUCUCCCUUCUCUCUUGUACUUGGCUGGAUUUCUUCAGACGGUAACACGGAGUUUCUUCAUUGCAUCUGGGCAGAAUCACUCUGCUAUACGCAGUUUCAGGUGCUGUGAUAAGGCAUGUGAGACCUGUGCUACAUGCACUGGUGGAGGCACUGGUGGAAAUUCUAUCCAGGUGCAACUUGGCAGCAGCUUUCUGUCUUCCACAGCCUGUCCUGCCUCCUCAUCCCUGUUUCAGACAGAGGAUGUGAUGUUCUCAAACCUGCUGGGAUUGCCACUGAUAUGAUCAUUCCUUAUUUCUCUCAAUGACCCUGCUUAUUUUAGGCAGUUUAAGGUGUGAUUCCAUGUCAGUUUCAGAUCAUCUAAACACCAGCUUCUCCCACCCUCUCCUUCCAUUCCCACCUCUGUGUUCCCAUCUCUUUUCCUGUUCUGGCACUUUGCUGCAUCUCCUACUGCCAACAAGGCUGGUUUUGGCUGUACAGGUCACUGAGGGAGUUGGCUUCAGGACUCAGCACCUGUGUUGGGGGACAGUGACAGAGAUAAUGCUGUCCCUUCUGUUCCUGCUGUUUCUUUCAGGAACUUCAAAAGACUUGCUGUUCACAUUUUUUUUUUCAGUGUUACAAUUUGCACUAAUUGUCCCUCUUGUCCCUCUUAGUACCAGCUCCAUCAUUUUUUCCUCUAUGACAUUAUCCUGUCUCUUACCCAUUGAACUAGAAAUGUACUGAAUUAGCUCUAAUUAUCAAAUUGAUAAAGAUAUAUAGAUGCUUACAACAAUAAUACGUCUCUGAGUGUUCCACAAACCCGUGACAGUGCAAAUGUCAAUGCAGUCUAAUUUUAACAUGACACAGUGAGUCUUCUGUUCAUUAGCUUUUGUUCAUUGUCUUAUAUCCAGCUUGAUAAUAAUCCCCUGAUUUAUUUUGAAUAGAUUUUUUUUUUAGCUGCUAUAGUUGGAGAAUCCUUUGUAUUCCAUUUUAGAUGUAAGGCAAGUCUUUGGGGGAUAUGUUCAUUGACCAUAAGACAUUUGGGGUCCUCAGCCAAGAGUUUGCUUUGUAAGUUAUUUCCAGCAUGACUUGAGACACAGAACUGCCUGGAGCUGGGAAUAGAGGCAGGAAGGAAGCUUACAUCAAACAAGAUUAAAUUUGCUUGGGUUUGACUGGUAUGGUUUAUGUCAAUUUUGGUGGGUUUGUUUGUUUGUUUGCUUUUACUUAAUUAGAGUAUAGUUGUUUUGUCUGGGAUAGUGGGUCUUACACAAAAAUUAAUGCCAUAACCUCCUGGCAUUUGGCACUUCAUGCAUGUUGUUAUUGCCAAAUCUGAAGCUCAUAAAAUAAUUUUGUUGUGUUUCAACUCUCAGCCAAAAUGAUGGGUAACAUGAACUUUAUAACAUGAACUAUUCAUUAAUUCAAAUGGAAAAUUUGCUUACUAAAUUUUAACAGCUUUUUUUUUUCUUCUUCACAUGGUAUUUAGUAAAGAAAGGGUUUGCUCCUGCCUCCUUGCCUUGUCAGCCAUCUCAGCACCCUACAGAGGAUGGUAACAUACUUUAAGAGCACAUGAUGUGUUUUUGCAGUCCUCUACUGAAGUAGGGCGUGGAUGUGUAAGACUCACUUUACUGUUAAUUUAUCUUCUUGAUGCUCAAUAUCAGGCUACAUUUUCAUCGACUGAAUAACUGUGGAGUCAUUAUGAAGGCAAUAAGAGCUGAGUUACUACCCUUGGAAGUGAUUGCUGCUGGAUUUUUGCCUCUUAAGCCUCCAAACAGGAUGUUACGUUACUGUAUGCAGUUCCCUUCCCUGAUGUGCUGUCUGAGCAUUGGCCAAGCUAUCAGUGUCCCAUUAUGAUUCAUGCAGAACUGUAAUCCCAGUGGAACCAAUGGAAGUGUAAAUGAGACCACAAAGGACAGUUUCCAUUGCUCUGCUCCUUUUUUUUUUAUUAUUUUUACAGUGCGCAAUCCAUCUUGAUGAAAUACUAUUAAGUGCAAUCUAGUAGCCUGAUUGCUGGGUGCUAUUAAAUCAUCAGAUUGUGCCUGGUGUCCUUACUCCUCUGUCUUUGCUUUGCAGGGGUUACCAGUUUGCCUGUCUUCUUUUGAACACAGUUGGUUUUCAACAGACACAUAUGGCUCUCAGGAACACAGAUGCCAGGUCACAUGUGUCUCAGGCACAGCUCCAAAAUUACUAUCAUGGAUGUUUAUCCCUGAAGCUGAAUUUUCAGAGCUGGAGGAAUAGUUUGAAGCUGAAGCGUGCAGCCUGGUUAUGAGAAUUACAGUCUAAACCAUGCCUUACACGUGUCCUUUGCUUUGGAAAAUAAAAACUUGCUUUUAAAGUGGUGAGGAAAAGGGGAGUCGCUGGUUAAGGAGAAUGUCACUGCAGAUGGCUCAGAGUAGAGUGUACCACCAUCAUUUCACUGUCUGACGGCCUCAGGGGCUGCCUGGUGUCAGAAACCCAUGAUCAGCAAAACCUCAAAGUGUGUGCCCACAUCGGUGUCUGAGAAAGUGUUAUUGACUGUACAUUUGCACUCAUUUCCUGGGGAAUGAGUUCCUUCCUGGGAAAAUUCUAUCUACAGUGACAGUGUACAACAUCAUGCAAACCAGAGUGGAGCCAGUGCCUUGCCAUCUCUUAGGAAACAGAAGCUGUGGGCCUUGCUGCUGGUGGAUGCAGACAGUACUGUUAGACUUGUCUUAGAAAUUCCUGAUGUGAGAGCACUGGGCUUCAUGGUCUCCUUCUUCCUUUUGUGUCCAGUGGUGUUCAGCGGAUCCAAGCUGUUUUUGUGAGUGCAAAAGCCUGCACAGGGUCAGCUGUCCAUGCUCCCAUGCCUUGGGCAUCAUCAUACAGGACAUUCUCACCACCACUUUGGUGCAACACCUGCACCUCGGAUUGAAAACUGCAUUCUGAACGCUGAAAUGAAGUCAUAGGAGUGGCAGAUGGAAGUGAAAUAGAGAGAAGCUCUCUUCUUUUCCAUCUAAAGUGGUCUUCUGACAUCAUUUUAUCUCCUUAACUGUAUGUUGUGAACAUGGCAAAGCAGUCUCAGCAUUGGAUUAAUAUUUCUGUUAUUGGCAGUGUGGUGCUCUCUUUCCCAGUUCCAUAGGAAAAAUAGAAGAUUAUAGGCCAAUUGAUCUGUAGUACAGUGUGAUGCCACCAAUUUGCAUUUGUUAUUUGGUAAGGGUUCCUUACAUCCUUUUGAAGAAAUGUUACUGAUUUUGCUAGUUGAUUAGAUCUACUCAUUGUGGAACCAGAGAAAUCCUCAAGCACCUUAAGGCUUAAAGAUGUUCUUUGAUCAUAACAAUAGCAUUUGUACCAUCUCCUAAAUCCCAUUCUUCUAAUAAAUAUUGCAGCCAAGUUAGGAAGGAUGUACUGUAAAUAGAAAAUUUUCUUGCUAACCACACAGUAAAUGUUGCCAGUCCCUGGUAUAUUUCUGAGAUGCAGCUGUGUCCAUGAUCUGUCCCCAGGCUGUAUGCAUUUGGAACUGAAACACUUAUUCUGUGUCACAACAAUGUGCUUAUGGACCAUGUAAAAACAGAACAAAUAUUAAAACCUUUGCAAGUCUUGUACCACAAAUGAAUUUAUGCAUAAGGAGGGGGAAAUACAAGCUCUCUCUAGGAAGAAGUGUCUGGAUAAAACAUCUAUAAGGGAAAAUGCAUCCAGAAGGUGGCUUUUUAGGUAAGAAGCUGAAGCCCCAUUAAAUAAGUAUAUGUUGACAGGCUACUGCCAUGGUGAGGAAAGGUGGUCUUCUGGUCUGUGGCUUCUGAGAAUUUCACUAUAAUCUGUAACUACUGAUAUGAUACCAAUAUGAAAUGUGGAGUUACAAAGGCAGAAUUGCCAAGGCUGUACUGUGCAUCCCUUUCCCUUCCCGUCCCUCUGACAGCUGCCAAGUCAGACCUAACUCUGACUCAAGGUAGAAGCUGGAUGUUUUGACUGUGUUGGCCCUGGAAGUUCUCAUUGUACAUACUGUUGGUUGUGUGCUUGCCACAACUCUACAGAAGAUUGCAGCAUGUGGAGCCACAUGAGGAGUUUGGGGAUAAAGGGAGAGUCAAGAGAGCUCUUUUGGUACAAGUUAUGAUGAACAGGAAGAUUCUUUAACCUCAGAACUCACUGUGUCAGGAAGGCUCAUGUUCAAUGGCAAAAGAAGCAUAAUGGUCAGAAGGGGAACUAUGGGACUUGUGUGAAUAUCUUAGAUGAUCCAGUUUAAACUUGAAGACAUACUAAGUCAGGAAGGCACAUGUUGCAUUUCUUAUUUAAACUAUCUCUCUGAAUUAUUUGGAUAACCUUAGCGAAGAUCCAAUUAUUUUGGAAUCUGAAAAGCCUGCAUGUAUUCUAUUCUAUGUAUGUGACAUGUCUUUUAGAACAUGGGCUCAUAUUAUUGAACCUCUGGGAAAAGUUCCAUGUAAGCUAUUCAAGCUGAAGUUGCACCUGUAUUUACCUGCAGAUACAUUGCAGCUCUCAUCAGAACAUUCUGUCUAUGGGAACCAGAGUGGAGGAGAGACACCAGUUCAUCACUGGUGCUUGCUCUGGUUCAGGCACCAGAACUCCAGUGUGCUCCCAGGUUUGGUAACAGAGCUGGCAGCAGGGAGAGUCUUCAGGGCUAAACAGUUUUAUUGUGAAGUCCCAGAUCUCCAGUGUAAAUGGAGGAGCUGCUGACAAGACCACGUGCAAAGAUCUCAAAUCUGACUCAUUUUUUACUUCCUCUCUGACUUGGGAAGCUCAGACUCAUGGUAUGUAGGCAAAGCAGUCAUGUCUACCUGAGCAAGAUUCUGUCCUGGGGGGCUGUGCCAGCAUAGUGGCAUUCAGUGUGGGCUUUUCUCCAAGUGUGAGGGCUUUGGUGCAGCACAAGAUGGAACAUAGCUCUCCUGGGGGAAAGCAAUGCUGAUGAGAAAGCUGAAAUUAAGUCACAGUACUAGAAAAAGAUAUUAAUAAUUCUGAGUACAAUUUUCAUAAUUGAUUUUUAAAAACCCCUUUCAUUCAAUGUUUUAAAUUGUGGAAGCUCUUGCAAGAUGCUCUCAGCUCUGAAGUGUGUCCUAAAGUAUUUUUUCAUCUAUUCUGAUGGCAGUGGAGUGUCAGGAAUGUCACAUUCUGUGUGUGCAGAUGUGUUAUAGCAUUCAUGAGCUUCCAUCAUGACACAGGUUUUGUUGGAGCUCUCUACUAUAACAGAUCUCAAAUAAGUUAUUGUUCUGAGUAAAUUGUCUAUCCUAUUGUUUUCCCACUGCAAACAGAACAGAACAGGCUGAAUAAAAACAAGACAGGAUUCAAUGUGGGGAAAAAUGGACAAUUGCAAUUAUAUUUUCCCUGAUAUUUCCCGAACUCUUGUGAUGAUUGUUAUUUUUUUAUUGCAUGGCUCUUUCUAUUCAAUAAUAGGCAAAGCGUUGGAAAGUGUUUCCUCCCAUUAAUAAACAUGGGAAUAAUACACAAUCAUUCACUUAAUGUUUUGUCUCUUACACAGAUACAAAAGGGGCAGACCUUGGGAGAACUUUGAUAAGGUAUUUCUCCAAGCCACAGCUGAAGAGAGUUGUGUUUUUGUUUCUUAGAUUUCAGAUGCUAAUUGCAGCAGGAUACUUGUCCAGUGCAUUAGUGAAAGCCUUCAGUAGGACUCAGGUGCUCCAGCAGUCAAUGCUCCCAGUUGAGCAGAUGAGCUGAAGCCUCAGUAUCUUCCUGGGGAGCGUGGUGCUGUCUGCCUGAGCAGCCACUGUGGGGGAUUCCUGGCCCCUCAUGGAGAGUAGAGGGCCCAUGUAGAAUUUUGUGAAGAGGCGCUGUCAGUGCAAUACAGAUGACAGCAGCCUGACUCUUGAAACUCUCACUGCAAUUCCAGCCAGAUGCAAUAUUGUCUUAGAUUAUGAUUUACAGGGCAUUUACAAGAUAUUUCACUUCAGAGCAAGCAGAACAGCAGCAGCAAGUAGGGCAGCGUGCCUGAGCAAGGUCUCACAUACACACACCCUUAGAGGAACAGCCUUUGGAAGAACCAUGAUUUACAAGGCACUCUCUUGCUCAAAUAGGCUGCUGGUUUGGGGGAUAUCACAGGCCAUUCUCCACCUUUCAGUACAUCUGCUUUCUGUCCACUCUCCCACUCUUGGGGCUGCCUGUAACCUCAUCCACCACUAGCACACAGAGGCGUGACCAAGAGGGAGAUUUCGGGCAGCUUCUGGCUAAGCAGGCAACUGCUUUUCCCUACCAUGCCACUCAUCCCAUGGCUCCUGUUUAAACCCUAGCUGAAACCAGAUGGUGAAUGUGCUGCUGCCAUAAAGCAGAGCGCAGUCUGGAGGGAACCUUGCUGCCUUUUCUCUCCCUCUGCUCUUGGGGGCACCUUCCCCAAGGCACUGGGGUCCCUGGGGUACUGCUUCUGGUGCAGAGCUGUGUGGUGUUACUCAGGGAAAAACAAAUGUCUGAGGCCACAGAGGACCCACACUUGUGUCUUUAAUUCAUUGAGACUCCAAAGGUUCUACUUAACAGGACACAUAAGAAAUAAAAGACAUUUAUGUUCUAGAGCCUUCUGUUUUAAACUGCAUCAGCUAAAAUAUGUGUAUUUUUAAAUUUAGCUUUCAUACUAUAUCAAUUCCAGAGCCAGUCACAUUUUCCCUGUGGUAAUAUUACGAAAGUAAUUCUCACUGAGCCCUUAGCUUUAUUUUGUGUCUCAUCAUUCUUUGAUAACGGGAAACAUACCACAGUUAUUAUGCAUGCACUGGAAAUAAAGAAUUAUAGCAAA